GCCCGGCGCCUACCUUUCGGAUUUGGUGAACUUCCGGAACGCCUGUCGGAGGUCGUGGAAGGACCUCCGCUUCUCCAGCUCUUUGAUCCGCUCCUCCUUGAGCAUGAGAAUCUUGGCAAAGUCUUCCUCCAGCUCGCUCAUUUUUUCCCCCCCAGCCGGAGCCCCUCCACCAAACUUUUCCUGGGGCGGCCGCGGCGGCUGCGACGGCGACGGGCGGGCGAGGCGAGCGCGGAGCCGAGUGAGUGAAUGGGCGCUGAGAACUCGCGCGCAGCCCGGCGCUGCCCCUACCGCUGCGCCAGGAGCCGCUUUCUUCGAUCCACUUCUGCUGAAUGGACUGAAAGCUCCGCACCGAGGGGAGGACGGAGAAGUCUAAAAGCGACGGAGAGGAGAGGCAGAGUGCUAAUCCCCAGCCUCCCCGGGGAAUAGGUUUGGAAAAAAAGAUUCUUCCCAGAAACUGUAAAAAAUGAAAUAACAGAUGAUAGUACUCAAAUAUUGAAGACACCAAAUUCUGCAGUAUCUGAAGAACCUUCGAUGUGGAAUACGGAGAUAGAGAUGCUAUGAGAUGUCAGGCAAAAUAUUCUACCUCACAGAACCUCAGUUUUUCCAACCAGAAAGUGGAGAUAUGAAUAUUAAAUUCUCUUACACCUGGGUCUUUGAGGCUAAAAUGAAGUAAGAUGAAAACAAGAUGUUGUUAUUUAAAUGUGACCCUAUAUAAACAAACAUAAAUAAAAUGGCAAUACCCCCCACCCCCAACCCCCACCCCCCGCUUUGAUUCUUGGAAGAAAAGUCGCCCAGCAGCGGGCAGAGUGGACAGUUGUGGUGAUGGUGGUGGUAAUAUUUAUACACACGCACCUUCUCCAGUUAUUCAAACACUAGUCAAGGUACUGCUGUGAAAUGAUUUUGCAGGUGUAAUUAAAGUCCCAAGUCAUUUUGAGACUUUAAGAUAAAAGCCAUCUGUGGACUUUUAAGAUAAAAUCAUCAGAGGAACCUUUACAAGGGAGUGGUCUCUAUGUGGAGACCAGGAUGCUAAGUGUGAGAGGAAUUUGACUUGAGGGAGAUGCCCUAUUGCUGCCUUUGAAAACAGAAGGGGCCACGUGACAAGAAAUGCAGGUGGAAUCAGUGCUGCAAGGAGUCACUAACAGCCAGCAGUGCAAUAGGGACCUCCAUCCCACAACCAUCAGAACUGAGUCUUGUUACAACCAUAAGAGAGUGAAAGAGGACCCUGAGCUCCUGAUGACAUCUUAAUUUCAACCUUAUAUGACCUUGACAGUGGGUCCAGUCAUGCUGUGCUCAGACUUAUUUCCAGAACUGAGAUAACAAAUAAGUGUGGUUUUAAGUCUCUAAGUUUGUGGUAAUUUGUUAGACAACAUGAUAAAAC